rnacentral:misc_RNA from 1 species
CCGAGUUUGCAACUCCCAAACCCCUGUGAACAUACCACUUGUUGCCUCGGCGGAUCAGCCCGCUCCCGGUAAAACGGGACGGCCCGCCAGAGGACCCCUAAACUCUGUUUCUAUAUGUAACUUCUGAGUAAAACCAUAAAUAAGUCA